CCUUUUGUAUAAUGGGUCAGCGACUUAUAUUCUGUAGCAAGGUUAACCGAAUAGGGGAGCCGAAGGGAAACCGAGUCUUAACUGGGCGUUAAGUUGCAGGGUAUAGACCCGAAACCCGGUGAUCUAGCCAUGGGCAGGUUGAAGGUUGGGUAACACUAACUGGAGGACCGAACCGACUAAUGUUGAAAAAUUAGCGGAUGACUUGUGGCUGGGGGUGAAAGGCCAAUCAAACCGGGAGAUAGCUGGUUCUCCCCGAAAGCUAUUUAGGUAGCGCCUCGUGAAUUCAUCUCCGGGGGUAGAGCACUGUUUCGGCAAGGGGGUCAUCCCGACUUACCAACCCGAUGCAAACUGCGAAUACCGGAGAAUGUUAUCACGGGAGACACACGGCGGGUGCUAACGUCCGUCGUGAAGA
rnacentral:rRNA from 1 species